rnacentral:rRNA from 1 species
GAUGAACGCUGGCGGCGUGCUUAACACAUGCAAGUCGAACGAUGAGGCCCAGCUUGCUGGGUGGGUUAGUGGCGAACGGGUGAGUGACACGUGAGUAACCUGCCCUUAACUCUGGGAUAAGCCUGGGGAACUGGGGCUAAUACCGGGUAGGGGCGUCCCCCGCACGGUGGGUGUUGGGGAGAUUUAUCGGGUUUGGAUGGACUCGCGGCCUAUCAGCUUGUUGGUGGGGUAAUGGCUCACCAAGGCGACGACGGGUAGCCGGCCUGAGAGGGUGACCGGCCACACUGGGACUGAGACACGGCCCAGACUCCUACGGGAGGCAGCAGUGGGGAAUAUUGCACAAUGGGCGCAAGCCUGAUGCAGCGACGCCGCGUGCGGGAUGACGGCCUUCGGGUUGUAAACCUCUUUCAGUAGGGAAGAAGCGAGAGUGACGGUACCUGCAGAAGAAGCACCGGCUAACUACGUG